AUUGAACGCUGGCGGCAGGCUUAACACAUGCAAGUCGAACGAGUGGCGGACGGGUGAGUAAUGCUUGGGAAUCUAGCUUAUGGAGGGGGAUAACUACGGGAAACUGUAGCUAAUACCGCGUACUAUAGGAUGAGCCCAAGUGGGAUUAGGUAGUUGGUGGGGUAAAGGCUCACCAAGCCGACGACCUCUAGCUGGGCUGAGAGGAGGACCAGCCACACUGGGAUUGGAACACGGCCCAGACCCCUAGGGGAGGCAGCAGUGGGGAAUAUUGCGCAAUGGGGGAAACCGUACACAGCCAUGCCGCGUGAAUGAAGAAGGCCUUCGGGUUGUAAAGUUCUUUCGGUAGCGAGGCGUUAACUACAGAAGAAGCACCGGCUAACUACGUGCCAGCAGCCGCGGUAAUAC
rnacentral:rRNA from 1 species